GAUGAAGAACGCAGCGAACGUGCGAAACGUAAUGUGAAUUGCAGAAUUCAGUGAAUCAUCGAAUCUUUGAACGCAUCUUGCGCUCCUUGGUAUUCCGAGGAGCAUGCCUGUUUGAGUGUCGUGAAUACUCUCAACUUCAACCCUUUUUUCGGAAAGGGAGGAAGGUUGGACUUGGGUGUUUGUUGAAGUGCGAGCUUCGACUCAUCCUAAAUGCAUUAGCGAUCUGCCUCGAUCAUACACAAUGUGAUAAUUAAAACUAAAGCAUUGUUUAAUGAUCAAGUCGAGACUGCUUCUAACUGUCGCAAGACAAUAACGUGCAUACAUUUGUGCAUGUCAUUUGACCUCAAAUCAGGUAGGACUACCCGCUGAACUUAAGCAUAUCAAUAAGCGGAGGA
rnacentral:misc_RNA from 1 species